GUUAUUCUCUCUUCUUCGUGGACCAGAGAAGAGUCAGGAAGGCCUGCAGCUAAGCCAGCCUUUUUUUUCUUUUUCAGAUGGAGUCUUGUUCUGUUGUCCAGGCUGGAGUGCAGUGGUGCAAUCUCGGCUCACUGCAACCUCUGUCGCCCAGGUUCGAGCGAUUCUCCUGCCUUAGCCUCCUGAGUAGCUUGGACUACAGGUGCCCCAGCAAAAAACACUUCCACCCCCCACUGCGUCUGAACUUCGUGUCAGACACAAGAGGAAAGAAUUCUGGGGUCGGCACACUGCUGCACAUCUGUAAUCCAAGCUACUCAGGAGGCUGAGGCAGGUGGAUCGCUUGAGCCCAAGAGUUCAAAUCCAGCCUAGGCGACAUCGUGAGACCCAGUCUUUUAACAAAAGAGAGUGGCUGGCUGCAGUGGCUCACUCCUGUACUCCCAGCACUUUGGAGGCCAAGGUGGGCAGAUCACUGAGGUCAGGAAUUCAAGACCAGUCUGGCCAACAUGGCAAAACCCCGUCUCUACUAAAAAUACAAAAAUUAGCCAGAUGUGGUGGCGCAUGCCUGCAGUCCCAGCUACUCAGGAGGCUAAGUCAUGAGAAUCACUUGAACCUGGGAGGCGGAGGCUGCAGCAAGCUGAGAUAGUGCCAUUGCACUCCAGCCUCAGCGACAGAGCGAGUCUCCAUCUCAAAAAAAAAAAAAAAAAGAAAAAAGAGAGAAAAUAAUUCCUGAACUCAGGGCUGGGACUGGUAGUGCCAGGAGAAAGCAAAAAGCAAUUUGCUCUGGUGCCUGGGCACAGAAAGAGAACAGAGAAAAGGGAGGCAGAGGGAGUGCAGAGGGAAGGAAGGGGUGAGCGGGUGCUCUAUGAGGGCUCGUCUGAAAGGAAAUACACAAGCACAUCCAGCCCUCAGUUUGGCCAUGUCUGGAAGGGCUGGACAGGCUGAAGACAAGAAGGCCUCAGUGCGGGGAAUUCUAUGACAAUGGAAGGAGGUAGUCCUUGGGUUUCUUUGUCACCUGGGGGAGAAGGGAGAUGUAAGAGCUGUGGGGAAAGAAGCCGGCAUCCUCCCUCUACACGGAGACCUUUGUCCACGCUGCUGCCGUGCGAGAUGGCGGCUGCUGGAGAAUGUGUUGCCGGCUGGUCCAAGAGAUGACCUUGAGAGAGGAGAGACAAAAUUGAGCUGGUGUCUAGUGUUGGGG
rnacentral:lncRNA from 13 species